UGCGGGUGAAAAAUCUAGUACUGAUUUUAAAACAUUAUUAAACCACCCUAAUUAAAUUAACAUGCUUAAUCAAAGCUUAUUCGACUACACACCAAAUAAAACGAUUUUAACAACGCUCUUUCAUUGCUGGUUUUUUUUUUUUUUUAAUUUAUGGAGGAUUUGAAAAAUACUCACCCAAAAUUUAGGAAAAUCGCUCAAUCCAUGGCUGAUUUCCUCUUAAUCUUAGAAGGUAAGUUUUACAUUCUAAUUCGUCUGAGUUUUCUAAUUUCUCUUCACACAAUAUGAAGAACAUUUAUUUUUUGCUUGAUUAAUUGGAUGAUACUUGAUAUUGUCUGACUGUUGCUUGAUUUCAGAUUAAUGGGAGAUUGCUUAGGACUAGAGCCCUCGUCCGGUAAGCGUUUCCGGCUACAUCUCAUCGACUUCUGGACAAGAUGAUUUCAGGCUUCGAUUUGAUUUAUAUACAAAAAAGAUUUGGGGGAAUGCCUUGAAAUCUGCAAAGAAUUUUAAUGGGUUUGAUGAUAAGACCAAGUUGUAAUAUGAUCUCGAGCGUUUAGCUAUGGAGAAUGGAAUUACUGUUAGAUGGGAUUUA
rnacentral:lncRNA from 1 species